rnacentral:tRNA from 2 species
AGAAAUAUGUCUGACAAAAGAGUUACUUUGAU